rnacentral:rRNA from 1 species
AUUGAACGCUGGCGGAAUGCUUUACACAUGCAAGUCGAACGGCAGCACGGGGCAACCUGGUGGCGAGUGGCGAACGGGUGAGUAAUACAUCGGAACGUGCCCAAUCGUGGGGAUAACGUAGCGAAAGUUACGCUAAUACCGCAUACGAUCUACGGAUGAAAGCGGGGGAUCGCAAGACCUCGCGCGAGUGGAGCGGCCGAUGUCAGAUUAGGUAGUUGGUGGGGUAAAGGCUCACCAAGCCAACGAUCUGUAGCUGGUCUGAGAGGACGACCAGCCACACUGGAACUGAGACGCGGUCCAGACUCCUACGGGAGGCAGCAGUGGGGAAUUUUGGACAAUGGGCGCAAGCCUGAUCCAGCCAUUCCGCGUGCAGGAUGAAGGCCUUCGGUUGU